AGCUCCAAUAGCGUAUAUUAAAGUUGCUGCAGUUAAAAAGCUCGUAGUUGCAUUUCCGAGGCAAGGGAUUAGUCCGACCUUUGGUGGGUAUUUAAUCCUCUUGCCUCGUCCUUGAGUGGUGCUUCUUGGUAUUAAGUUAUCGAGGCGAUAGCCGCUCAUCGUUUACUGUGAGAAAAUUAGAGUGUUCAAAGCAGGCUUAUGCCGUUGAAUAUAUUAGCAUGGAAUAAUAAGAUAGGACCUCGGUACUAUUUUGUUGGUUUGAGAACCAAGGUAAUGAUGAAUAGGGACAGUUGGGGGUAUUCGUAUUCAGUUGUCAGAGGUGAAAUUCUUAGAUUUACUGAAGACGAACUACUGCGAAAGCAUUUACCAAGGAUGUUUUCA
rnacentral:rRNA from 1 species